rnacentral:ncRNA from 1 species
GAAAUGGCAAACUUAUGGAAACAUAAGGACGCAAAGCCUAGGGCCUAAACUUUUAUAGCAACGGCAGCCUGGUUACCGAA